rnacentral:lncRNA from 1 species
ACAGCUGAUAAAACUCUAUCGUUACUCUGUAUAGCUCUCUACUAAUUUGCUAUUGCAAUUGGUGCUUCGCCUUUUGGGGGAAACUGCGACAAAUUUUUUAGGUGGUGUUAAUUAUAGCCCAAAUCAGACUUGUUGCAUAACAUCUGCUACACUGUUGCCACAUGGUAACAACAGCCAUGUGAAGUAAGCUGAUUGGAUUGAGCUGUAGUGGCUAUCUUUGACAGCAAGAAUGAACACUUACUGAAUGCUUACAAAGGACAGGGUGGGUGCACAGAAAGUGUAAAGCCUCACUAAAAAAGGUAUGCCUGGGCAUGCGCCAUGCAGUUUAUGUGAGCCAAUUUCAGGUUCUGUUCUCGCACACCUGCUUGUCCAUGCACUCCCUAUAAUUUAGGUAAUCCCUAUAAUUUGGAGGACUUGGUGUCAGGGCAGCCACCCUGUCAAGCUACUGAUCUCAGUAGCUUUUUGUGGCUACUCCUUCUUUGUAUAUUUUUGUUCAAGGAGAAUAAAUUCAAGGUUGGCUCCUGUGAUACACACGACGAGGGUUAGUUUUUGGCCACCUGCCUCAGCCAGCUUUUUAACUGCCCGCUAAGAAAAGAGGAACGGUUGCCUGUGGAAGCAGCUUAUGUUCUCUGCAACAUUCAAAGACUUCAUAAAUCUGUGGAAAAAGCACCAGUAGUAGUGUCCUAGCCACAACUCCCUCUAGACAGUUUCUUCUUUGUGGAAGUGUUUUCAUGCACAUACAACAAAUUUGGAAUGGUAGGCUCUGGGUUUAACCAGCAAUGCAUUAGUUGAUGUUGGCUGUUAUUAACAGCACUGCUGAAGCCAUUGUGCAGUGGUGUAGUCAAUACCACUGUCUUAGGUUCUCAGGCAGAUUAAAGUUAUAAGUAAACUUUCAUAUUGGCACUGUGAUUCCCCCCUCCCCUCCAAAAAAUAAAAGGACAAGCUAAAUUUGUGUUGGGAGAGUGCCUAUAACUAUGUUGCCAAUGUUCUUGCAAGG